CCAAAUGAUUUAUCGCCAUAGGAUGGGACUGCGGCCUAUCAGUUUGUUGGUGAGGUAAUGGCCCACCAAGACUAUUACAGGUACGGGCUCUGAGAGGAGUAGCCCGGAGAUGGGUACUGAGACACGGACCCAGGCCCUAUGGGGCGCAGCAGGCGAGAAAACUCUGCAAUGUGCGAAAGCACGACAAGGUUAAUCCGAGUGAUUUCUGCUAAAGAGAUCUUUUGUUAGUCCUAGAAACACUAACGAAUAAGGGAUGGGCAAGUUCUGGUGUCAGCCGCCGCGGUAAAACCAGCACCUCAAGUGGUCAGGAUGAUUAUUGGGCCUAAAGCAUCCGUAGCCGGCUCUGUAAGUUUUCGGUUAAAUCUGUACGCUCAACGUACAGGCUGCCGGGAAUACUGCAGAACUAGGGAGUGGGAGAGGUAGACGGUACUCGGUAGGAAGUGGUAAAAUGCUUUGAUCUAUCGAUGACCACCUGUGGCGAAGGCGGUCUACCAGAACACGUCCGACGGUGAGGGAUGAAAGCCGGGGGAGCAAACCGGAUUAGAUACCCGGGUAGUCCCAGCUGUAAACUAUGCAAACUCAGUGAUGCAUUGGCUUGUGGCCAAUGCAGUGCUGCAGGGAAGCCGUUAAGUUUGCCGCCUGGGAAGUACGUACGCAAGUAUGAAACUUAAAGGAAUUGGCGGGGGAGCACCACAAGGGGUGAAGCCUGCGGUUCAAUUGGAUUCAACGCCGGA
rnacentral:rRNA from 1 species